UCAAUAAUACCUAAUGAUUAUUAGAAAUAAAAGUUAGAAGAAAGAAUAAACUAGUCUCUCUCUCUCUCUCUCUGCACUUUAUUUUGUUCAAAAUCCGCUGCUGCUUUUACUUUGCCGUUUCGACGAGGACUAAUAAGAAGCUCUCUCACAGAAGCAAAACAAAAGAAGCUUGACUGACUCUCUUUCUCUCUUUCUCUCUUUCUCUCUCUAUGUAAGAAAUUCACUUUUACUUUCUCCCUCUAAAAUCUGCUCUCCUCAUUGUCUUGCCUCUGUCUUCUUCAAGAAUUGAUGUCUCUUCAACACUUUCUCUUAUUUUAAAGUACCCUCUCUCUCUCCCCUCCUCUCAAGAACCAAAAAAAAAAGCAAAAGCCCACCAUUUUGUUCAUUGCUUUGUCCCUGUGAGAUAAAAAGAGAGACUAAGAAUAUAAACUCAUCUCUUAGGUUCUAUUUUCCUAGCCUACUCUUGUUGAAGUUUCUGUCUGGUCCAUAGGGAGAAAAAAAACCACAGCUCCAGUCAAAUUUUGGCAGUGAUUCAUACAGAAGUCAAACUUUUAGGGAAACAUUUCCACAUUUUUAGCUUUGAUUAUGGAUGGGUUGAGUUUCUGUUGAAGUAGAACCACACACACACACACACACACUGGUAAAAGAAGCAAAAGAAGGAGUAACAAUGAGAGAAGACAAAUCCAAGACAAAUAAGCUGGCCUGGUCAAUGAAGAUGGUCAGGAAAUGGUUUAAUAUAAAAAGCAAAACAGAGGAGUUUCAAGCAGAUGUUCCUGCCCCUUCUGCUGGAGUUGAAGUAGAGCACAGAAGUAGCUUCUCAGCAGAGAAAGCUCCCAGCAUAAUCAAGAAGACCAAAACUGAGAAGCUCAGUAAGAACUGGGAGCAGCAAGCUCGGCAAAGGAGAAUGAAUUAUGAGAAUCCUAGGAUUGUUGAUGUCCAAAACUACAGCAUCUUUACUGCUACCUGGAACGUAGCUGGACGCUCUCCUCCUCCUGACUUAAACCUUGAUGAGUGGCUUCACUCUUCAGCUCCUGCAGAUAUAUAUGUCCUCGGAUUCCAAGAGAUUGUUCCUCUUAAUGCUGGCAACGUCCUUGGAGCCGAAGACAAUGGACCUGCUCAGAAAUGGCUCUCUCUUAUCCGCAAAACACUCAACAACCGACCAGGCACCAGCGGAGCCAGCGGUUACCACACGCCUUCCCCUGUCCCUGUCCCUAUGGCAGAGCUUGACGCUGACUUCUCCGGCUCCACAAGGCAGAAGAACUCCACCUUCUUCCACAGACGCUCUUUCCAAACCCCAAGCAGUACAUGGAACGAUCCUUCAGUCUCUCAGCCAGGUCUUGACCGCCGUUUCAGCGUCUGUGACCGUGUCUUCUUCAGCCACAGGCCGAGUGAUUUCGACCCGAGUUUCCGCGGUAGCAGCAGCAGCAGCAGCAGCAGCAGUCACAGGCCUAGUGAUUACUCAAGAAGGCCUAGUGAUUACUCAAGAAGACCUAGUGAUUAUUCAAGACCGAGUGAUUACUCUAAUAGACCAAGUGAUUACUACUCUAGACCGAGUGAUUACUCACGGCCGAGUGACUUCUCAAGGUCUUCUGAUGAUGAUAAUGUUACUGGUGACUCUCCAAGCACUGUCUUGUACUCGCCAGGCUCUACAGCAAACGAGAACGGGUAUAGGAUGCCGUGGAAUACUUCGCAGUAUUGUUUAGUUGCUAGCAAACAGAUGGUUGGUGUCUUCUUAACCAUUUGGGUGAAGAGUGAGUUAAGGGAACAUGUGAAGAACAUGAAGGUGUCUUGUGUUGGCAGAGGACUAAUGGGCUAUCUAGGGAAUAAGGGAUCGAUCUCAAUAAGCAUGUUGCUGCAUCAAACAAGCUUUUGCUUUGUUUGUACUCACUUGACUUCAGGACAAAAAGAAGGUGAUGAGCUGAAGAGAAACUCUGAUGUCAUGGAGAUACUUAAGAAAACAAGGUUUCCACGUGUCAAGAGCUUAGAGGAUGAGAAGUCCCCUGAGAAUAUCCUUCAGCAUGAUCGUGUAAUAUGGCUUGGUGAUUUGAAUUACCGGAUAGCACUGUCUUAUCGAUCUGCUAAAGCAUUAGUUGAGAUGCAGAACUGGAGAGCUUUGCUAGAAAACGACCAGUUAAGGAUAGAGCAGAAACGAGGACAUGUGUUCAAAGGAUGGAACGAAGGAAAGAUCUAUUUCCCACCAACGUACAAGUACUCAAGGAACUCAGAUAGAUACUCUGGAGAUGACUUGCAUCCCAAGGAGAAACGUCGCACUCCUGCUUGGUGUGAUAGGAUACUGUGGUACGGUGAAGGAUUGCAUCAGUUAUCAUAUGUAAGAGGAGAGUCAAGGUUCUCGGAUCAUAGACCGGUCUAUGGCAUUUUCUGUGCAGAGGUUGAGUCAGCUCAUAAUAGGUUAAAGAGAACAAUGAGUUGCUCCGCUUCACGUGUCCAAGCUGAAGAGCUCUUUCCUUAUUCCCGUGGAUACACCGAGCUCAGCUUCUUCUAGAAGUAAACACACGGUGAACAAAAGUGUUUUUGGAUCUUUGAAAGUGAUGGAGACAUUGCAUUGCCUCUUUAACUCAAUGGGAACAGGUUUGUCAAAAAAAAUAUCUUUUACAUUUACAGUUUCCGGUUUGAGUUUUAACUCAUUGGUUUCCGGUUAGUGUAAUUUCCAGUUUGUAGGUGUAGAAAGUGUUUCGUAAUUUUUGCCUCGGUUAACUAAUUUUCACGUACCGGCGGUUCUGUUGUCUAUCCGGUUCAUAGUUUUGAUGGUUUUUGCUAACUCUGGUGGAUUUGAAAAUUUACAGCUAAAUUAUAAGGCAAUCAACUAACUCAAUCAGAAACUGCCAAGUAGACAGAAGUUCAUAUUUAAAAUUUUCAUUCUUUUGAGUUAGCACAAGUAGGAUAAAUUAAAUUUUAUGUUCUUUGUUUUUAGUCAAUUCUAGUGUCCCUAUGGUAAUCAUAUUGUAAUGUUUAUUAUAUAAGGUUUAGGAAAAUACAAAGAAAAUGAUUUCCAUUUCUAUUUUAUGAAAAUUGACGAAAAGUUAAAGUGA